rnacentral:rRNA from 1 species
CCUACGGGCGGCAGCAGUGUGGGAUAUUGCACAAUGGGGGAAACCCUGAUGCAGCGACGCCGCGUGGGUGAAGAAGCGCCUCGGCGCGUAAAGCCCUGUCAGCAGGGAAGAAAAUGACGGUACCUGAAGAAGAAGCCCCGGCUAACUACGUGCCAGCAGCCGCGGUAAUACGUAGGGGGCAAGCGUUAUCCGGAUUUACUGGGUGUAAAGGGGGCGCAGACGGCGAUGCAAGCCAGGAGUGAAAGCCCGGGGCCCAACCCCGGGACUGCUCUUGGAACUGCGUGGCUAGAGUGCAGGAGGGGUAGGCGGAAUUCCUGGUGUAGCGGUGAAAUGCGUAGAUAUCAGGAGGAACACCGGUGGCGAAGGCGGCCUGCUGGACUGCAACUGACGUUGAGGCCCGAAAGCGUGGGGAGCAAACAGGAUUAGAUACCCCAGUAGUC